UACGUAUGGUGCAAGCGUUAUCCGGAUUUAUUGGGCGUAAAGCGAGCGCAGGCGGUUGGAUAAGUCUGAAGUUAAAGGCUGUGGCUCAACCAUAGUAUGCUUUGGAAACUGUUCAACUUGAGUGCAGAAGGGGAGAGUGGAAUUCCAUGUGUAGCGGUGGAAUGCGUAGAUAUAUGGAGGAACGCCGGUGGCGAAAGCGGCUCUCUGGUCUGUAACUGACGCUGAGGCUCGAAAGCGUGGGUAGCGAACAGG
rnacentral:rRNA from 1 species